rnacentral:tRNA from 1 species
GCCUGGGUGGCUCAGUCGGUUGAGCGUCUGACUUCAGCUCAGGUCAUGAUCUUGCGAUUCAUGGGUUCGAGCCCCACAUCAGGUU